rfam:Felis catus isolate Cinnamon breed Abyssinian chromosome F1, whole genome shotgun sequence.
GCCUGGGUGGCUCAGUCGGUUGAGCAUCUGACUUUGGCUCAGGUCAUGAUCUUACAGUUCGUGGGUUUGGGCCCCGCAUUGGGCU